rnacentral:rRNA from 1 species
CAGCCGCCGCGGGAAUACGGAGGGGGCUAGCGUUGUUCGGAAUUACUGGGCGUAAAGCGUACGUAGGCGGCUUUGUAAGUUAGAGGUGAAAGCCCGGGGCUCAACCCCGGAAUUGCCUUUAAGACUGCAUCGCUUGAAUCGCGGAGAGGUGAGUGGAAUUCCGAGUGUAGAGGUGAAAUUCGUAGAGAUCGGAAGGAACAUCUGUGGCGAAGGCGACUAUCUGGGCCAACACUGACACUGAGGCACGAAAGCGUGGGGAGUAAACAGGAUUAGAUACCCCAGUAGUCCCUGUCUCUUAUAA